CCGGAAUAUUGGGCGUAAGGGCUCGCAGGCGGUUUCUUAAGUCUGAUGUGAAAGCCCCCGGCUCAACCGGGGAGGGUCAUUGGAAACUGGGAAACUUGAGUGCAGAAGAGGAGAGUGGAAUUCCACGUGUAGCGGUGAAAUGCGUAGAGAUGUGGAGGAACACCAGUGGCGAAGGCGACUCUCUGGUCUGUAACUGACGCUGAGGAGCGAAAGCGUGGGGAGCGAACAGGAUUAGAUACCC
rnacentral:rRNA from 1 species